GAGGAAUAUUGGUCAAUGGGCGAGAGCCUGAACCAGCCAAGUAGCGUGCAGGAUGACGGCCCUAUGGGUUGUAAACCGCUUUUGUAUGGGGAUAAAGUCAGUCACGUGUGAUUGUUUGCAGGUACCAUACGAAUAAGGACCGGCUAAUUCCGUGCCAGCAGCCGCGGUAAUACGGAAGGUCCGGGCGUUAUCCGGAUUUAUUGGGUUUAAAGGGAGCGUAGGCUGGAGAUUAAGUGUGUUGUGAAAUGUAGACGCUCAACGUCUGACUUGCAGCGCAUACUGGUUUCCUUGAGUACGCACAACGUUGGCGGAAUUCGUCGUGUGGCGGUGAGAUGCUUAGAUAUGACGAAGAACUCCGAUUGCGAAGGCAGCUGACGGGAGCGCAACUGACGCUGAAGCUCGAAGGUGCGGGUAUCGAACAGGAUUAGAUACCCUGGUAGUCCGCACAGUAAACGAUGGAUGCCCGCUGUUGGUACCUGGUAUCAGCGGCUAAGCGAAAGCAUUAAGCAUCCCACCUGGGGAGUACGCCGGCAACGGUG
rnacentral:rRNA from 1 species